CUACAGUAUGACAGAACUGUGGGGACGCAGAAGGAGAGCACUACCUGGAAUGGAAUCCAGGGGCAAGCACAGGAGGGGUACGGCUGGAAAAACCGCCGUGCAACCCAAAGGUGUGACGCAUACCGAACUAAAGUAGGGAAAUGUGUGAGCCGGCUGCCGAGAAAAGCCGCUAUUGUUUGUACUGUACCCGUACCGUAAACCGACACAGGUGGAUGAGGAGAGAAUCCUAAGGCCGACGGAAGAAGCAUUGCUAAGGAACUCGGCAAAAUGACCCUGUAACUUCGGGAGAAAGGGUGCCUCGAAAGAGGCCGCAGAGAAUAGGCCCAAGCAACUGUUUAGCAAAAACACAGGUCUAUGCAAAACCGCAAGGUGAAGUAUAUGGGCUGACGCCUGCCCGGUGCUGGAAGGUUAAGGGGAGAUGUCAGGAGACGAAGCAUCGAACUUAAGCCCCAGUAAACGGCGGCCGUAACUAUAACGGUCCUAAGGUAGCGAAAUUCCUUGUCGGGUAAGUUCCGACCCGCACGAAAGGCGUAAUGAUUAGGGCGCUGUCUCGGCAAUGCAUCCGGUGAAAUUGAAGUGCCAGUGAAGAUGCUGGCUACCCGCGCCAGGACGGAAAGACCCCAUGGAGCUUUACUCCAGCUUGAUACUGGGAUUCGGUAUUGUAUGUACAGGAUAGGUGGGAGGCUGAGAAAUGGUGACGCCAGUCGCCAUGGAGCCGCUGUUGGGAUACCACCCCUUGCAGUACUGGAUUUCUAACCAGCAGCCGUGAUCCGGCUGGGGGACAAUGUCAGGUGGGGAGUUUGACUGGGGCGGUCGCCUCCGAAAGGGUAUCGGAGGCGCUCAAAGGUUCCCUCAGAAUGGUCGGAAACCAUUCGAAGAGUGCAAAGGCAGAAGGGAGCUUGACUGCGACACCGACGGGUGGGGCAGGUACGAAAGUAGGACUUAGUGAUCCGGUGGUAUUAAGUGGGAAUGCCAUCGCUCAACGGAUAAAAGCUACCCUGGGAUAACAGGCUUAUCACUCCCAAGAGUUCACAUCGACGGAGUGGUUUGGCACCUCGAUGUCGGCUCAUCGCAUCCUGGGGCUGUAGUAGGUCCCAAGGGUUGGGCUGUUCGCCCAUUAAAGUGGUACGCGAGCUGGGUUCAGAACGUCGUGAGACAGUUCGGUCCCUAUCCGGCGUGGGCGUAGGAUAUUUGAGAGGAGCUGACCUUAGUACGAGAGGAUCGGGUUGGACUGACCUCUGGUGCACCGGUUGUCAUGCCAAUGGCACAGCCGGGUAGCCAAGUCGGGAAGGGAUAAACGCUGAAGGCAUCUAAGCGUGAAGCCCCCCUCAAGAUGAGAUAUCCCCCGCAUAAGCGGUAAGACCCCUUGAAGACGACGAGGUAGAUAGGGCAGAGGUGAAAGCGCAGUAAUGUAUGGAGCUGACUGCUACUAAUAGGUCGAAGGCUUAAC
rnacentral:rRNA from 1 species